GGCCGACUGGCCUAAUGGUUAAGGCGUCAGUUUCCGGUGUAGAGAAAUGCGAGGUCUCAGCGGCGGGGACCCGAACUCAAUGGUUUAAGCUGAAGAUUCUGGGUUCGAAUCCCAGGUUGGUCG